UUCCAGACUCCUACGGGAGGCAGCAGUGGGGGAUAUUGCACAAUGGGGGAAACCCUGAUGCAGCGACGCCGCGUGAAGGAAGAAGUAUCUCGGUAUGUAAACUUCUAUCAGCAGGGAAGAAGAUGACGGUACCUGACUAAGAAGCCCCGGCUAACUACGUGCCAGCAGCCGCGGUAAUACGUAGGGGGCAAGCGUUAUCCGGAUUUACUGGGUGUAAAGGGAGCGUAGACGGCGAUGCAAGCCAGAUGUGAAAGCCCGGGGCUCAACCCCGGGACUGCAUUUGGAACUGUGUGGCUGGAGUGUCGGAGAGGCAGGCGGAAUUCCUAGUGUAGCGGUGAAAUGCGUAGAUAUUAGGAGGAACACCAGUGGCGAAGGCGGCCUGCUGGACGAUGACUGACGUUGAGGCUCGAAAGCGUGGGGAGCAAACAGGAUUAGAUACCCCCGUA
rnacentral:rRNA from 1 species